rnacentral:rRNA from 1 species
UACGUAGGGACCAAGCGUUGUUCGGAUUUACUGGGCGUAAAGGGCGCGUAGGCGGCUUUGUAAGUCACUUGUGAAAUCUCCGGGCUUAACUCGGAACGGUCAAGUGAUACUGCAAUGCUAGAGUGCGGAAGGGGCAAUCGGAAUUCUUGGUGUAGCGGUGAAAUGCGUAGAUAUCAAGAGGAACACCUGAGGUGAAGACGGGUUGCUGGGCCGACACUGACGCUGAUGCGCGAAAGCCAGGGGAGCAAACGGG